rnacentral:rRNA from 1 species
GUGCCAGCAGCAGCGGUAAUACGUAGGUGGCAAGCGUUGUCCGGAUUUAUUGGGCGUAAAGCGAGCGCAGGCGGUUUUUUAAGUCUGAUGUGAAAGCCUUCGGCUCAACCGAAGAAGUGCAUCGGAAACUGGGAAACUUGAGUGCAGAAGAGGACAGUGGAACUCCAUGUGUAGCGGUGAAAUGCGUAGAUAUAUGGAAGAACACCAGUGGCGAAGGCGGCUGUCUGGUCUGUAACUGACGCUGAGGCUCGAAAGUAUGGGUAGCAAACAGGAUUAGAUACCCUGGUAGUCCAUACCGUAAACGAUGAAUGCUAAGUGUUAGGUAGGGUUUCCGCCCUUCAGUGCUGCAGCUAACGCAUUAAGC